UACGGGGGGGGCAAGCGUUGUUCGGAAUUACUGGGCGUAAAGGGCGCGUAGGCGGCCUUCUAAGUCAGACGUGAAAUCCCUCGGCUCAACCGAGGAACUGCGUCUGAUACUGGAAGGCUUGAAUCCGGGAGAGGGAUGUGGAAUUCCAGGUGUAGCGGUGAAAUGCGUAGAUAUCUGGAGGAAUACCGGUGGCGAAGGCGGCAUCCUGGACCGACAUUGACGCUGAACGGCGAAAGCUAGGGGAGCAAACGGG
rnacentral:rRNA from 1 species